CAUGUCUCUUGUUCUUCGAUUAACUAUAGCUCUGGAGUUUUUGCAGAUUUUCAAAUAAAACUCAGAGAUUCCUUGUAUGACUCUCUCUAGUCUCUCUUUUGUGAUAUUUCUGGAUCCUUACCAAGGCAUUAAUGGUGUAUGCCUUCUCUCAAAGUAUGUGGUAUUUGUGGUAUAAGGCAUAGUGGCAUUGCCUUCUCUCUCACCCUACUCUAAUAAGGCUUUUGAUAUCUGGAGCUCAUAGGUGGGAGACAGCUAAUACAUACUUACAAGACAUUUAUUGCAUAGUCAAACCAUGGAUCCAGAAGAACAAGUCAAUAAAUCAAAUCAAGAUGUGCAUGUGUGGCGAAUGAAUGGUGUAAGGUGAUGAUGGUGAUAACAAUGGUGAAAGUCUAAUUCUACUUGUGCUCUUUUGAGGGGAUACAUACCUCUCUUGCACUUUUGAAACUUUUUGAGGAGAAUGAGAUGCUCUAUAUUUUCUUUUUCUUUCCUCUCAGGUGGGUAUCUUAUACCCCUAAUUCUACUGUCGGACACUUGUCCAUUUUUACCUCUCGUCUCACUUUUUCUUUUCUUUCGAGGUUUCGGGCACUUGCCCCUUUUUAUUUCCUCGUAUUCACUUUUUUUUCAGAGCACUCAUUUCCUGAAAUAAUAUAGCAAGUGGUAGUAACCAAGAUAACUUGAGCAUUUAUUUCACAAGGGAAAAACAGAAAUAUUUUUGGCUAUUCUCUCCCGGAUUAGGAGUAGAAUAUUUUUGAGUGGUUCUGGAGAUAGAAAUGGACAUAUGUGGAUGGUACUUCCGGAGUAGAAGUAGCAUGUGUGAGUGAACGUGUAAGUGAAUCUUGAUUUAACCACAUGACAAGCUCCUAAGGGUCUACACAGCUUGACCACACUCAAUGCUCAUAAGCAGUAAAGUAAAUGUGUGGUUCAUAGUCUAGCAAGCAUGUAUAUAUGGCUGUGGUAGGAAUUUAAACUCUCAUCAUACAGGAACUCAUCAUGCAACAUUUUAAAGAUUUUCAAAGAUAAAAAUUCUCCAAAAUUCUAGCAUCUCUAGGAACAAAUAAAUAGC
rnacentral:lncRNA from 1 species